rnacentral:misc_RNA from 1 species
AUUUAUAUAAUUUUAGGGUGUGAUAGCUUAAGUAUAGUGAUAUUCCCUCCUGCCAUACCCCAUUUUGUUCCUAUCGCUCUUUAGAAGGGAGUAACUAGAUAGCCAAUGCCAAGGUACAGUUGCAUUUAUAUGGUUGCCUUUGGUCGCAUGACACAAGAUAAGUUUAACACAUAUAAUAAGAGGUGGUUUUCGUUUUUUUGGGUAGCAUUACAACAAUUAUUAGAGUCCAUUACAAUGGUAGGAAUAUGGACAAGUUUCCUAUAACAGUGGGUUUACAUCGGGUUUGAUUUUGAGUCCUUACUCAUUUACCUUAUUUAUGGAUGAGCUACCCAUUCAUAUUCA